UACGUAGGGGGCAAGCGUUGUCCGGAAUCAUUGGGCGUAAAGAGCUCGUAGGCGGUUUGUCGCGUCUGCCGUGAAAGUCCGGGGCUCAACUCCGGAUCUGCAGUGGGUACGGGCAGACUAGAGUGUGGUAGGGGAGACUGGAAUUCCUGGUGUAGCGGUGAAAUGCGCAGAUAUCAGGAGGAACACCGGUGGCGAAGGCAGAUCUCUGGGCCGUAACUGACGCUGAGGAGCGAAAGCAUGGGGAGCGAACAGG
rnacentral:rRNA from 1 species